AUGACAACCAAUCUUGCAGAGGUGUAUAACUUUGUGCUGAGAGGGAAUAGAGCAUUGCCACUCACCGCUAUUGUGGAGGCUGUAUUCCAUGGCACUUUGAGAUAUUUCAGAGAAAGGCACGGGUUAGCAAAGAAGCAUAUUGAAGAUAAUCAGAACACACCUUAUUGUAGCCGUGUCAUGAAAUACAUGGCAAAGAAGAUAGAGAAAGCAAAGAAGCACACUGUCAGACUCAUAGGGAAUCAAGAAAGGAGGUAUGAGGUUCAGCUUCCUACCGAUGGUUUUGGUUCUGGACAUGAGGUGAAGACACACGAGGUAAAAAUUGGAACGGAAUUUUAUCCAACGUGUGAGUGUACAUGCAACAAACCGAAGUUGUUGCACCUACCUUGCUCUCAUGUGUUGGCUGCCUGUGGCCAGAUUGAGUUGGAUGCUAUCUCCUUCGUGUCCCCAUACUAUUUAAAAGAGGCAGUGCUCAACACAUGGACAUGCAAGAUGACAGGGUUUAGAGUCGUCGGCAAUUUCAACAAGGUAAACGACGGUGAGAGAGUAUACAUCCCGCAUCCAGACCUUCGGCGAACAAGUAGGGGCAGACGAAAGGCCCGUCGCAUCCGGAACGAUAUGGACCAGUCUGAAGUUGGUGGAGCAACCAGACAAUGUUUGUUAUGCGCGGCUUAUGGGCAUAGGAUGAAAUAU
rnacentral:rRNA from 1 species